GAUGAACGCUAGCGGCAGGCUUAAUACAUGCAAGUCGUGGGGCAGCAUGAAUGUAGCAAUACAUUUGAUGGCGACCGGCAAACGGGUGCGGAACACGUACACAACCUUCCUAUAAGUGGGGAAUAGCCCAGAGAAAUUUGGAUUAAUACCCCGUAACAUAAUGAUGUGGCAUCACAUUAUUAUUAUAGCUUCGGCGCUUAUUGAUGGGUGUGCGGCUGAUUAGAUAGUUGGCGGGGUAACGGCCCACUAAGUCUACGAUCAGUAGCUGAUGUGAGAGCAUGAUCAGCCACACGGGCACUGAGACACGGGCCCGACUCCUACGGGAGGCAGCAGUAAGGAAUAUUGGUCAAUGGACGCAAGUCUGAACCAGCCAUGCCGCGUGAAGGAUUAAGGUCCUCUGGAUUGUAAACUUCUUUUAUCUGGGACGAAAAAGGCGAUUCUUCGUCACUUGACGGUACCAGAUGAAUAAGCACCGGCUAACUCCGUGCCAGCAGCGCAGUAAAAC
rnacentral:rRNA from 1 species